rnacentral:rRNA from 1 species
UUCGAUUGUGCCAGCAGCCGCGGUAAUACGAAGGGGGCUAGCGUUGUUCGGAAUUACUGGGCGUAAAGCGAGCGUAGGUUGCUCGAUAAGUCAGUGGUGAAAGCCCAGAGCUCAACUCUGGAACUGCCAUUGAAACUGUCGAGCUGGAAUCUCAGAGGGGGUAGCGGAAUUCCAAAUGUAGGGGUGAAAUUCGUAGAUAUUUGGAGGAACACCGGUGGCGAAGGCGGCUACCUGGAUGAGUAUUGACACUGAGGCUCGAAAGCGUGGGGAUCAAACAGGAUUAGAUACCCUGGUAGUCCACGCUGUAAACGAUGGAUGCUAGUUGUUGGGGGGUUCCCUCUCAGUGACGUAGCUAACGCGUUAAGCAUCCCGCCCUGGGGAGUACGGUCGCAAG